GCUGCACGCGGCGACCAGAGGGAGCGGGACAGGCAGAGGGCGCAGGCGCGGAAGCCGGGGGCCAAGGGCCGCGACGACGGGCUCACGCCGGAGCAGCGACGAGAGAGGGACGCCAAGGCGCUGCAGGAGAAGACAGCCAAGAAGGCGGCGCAAGCCACGCAGGGGGCCGACGACGCCAAGAAGAACGCCGCCGGCAAGAAAUAG
rnacentral:rRNA from 1 species